AUGGCUCUGGCGCGGUGCAGCGGCGUGCUGGGCAACCCGCUGUCGGUGGACUUCUGGGCGGACGCGGACCCUUUCGGCGGCGCCGUCCGCGCCCUGGCCGAGCGCUGCCCCGAGCUCACGAACGUCCGCGUCGACUGGAAGGAGACGCCAGCCGCGCACGUCUUCACGGCCGACCUCCCCGGCGUCCGGAAGGGCGACGCCAAGGUGGAAGUCGUGGACGGCGACGUGCUGGUCAUCAGCGGCCAGCGCGCCAAGGAGGAGGAGGAGGGUGGCGGCAAGGACGAGCGGUGGCACCGGGUGGAGCGCAGCAGCGGCGGGUUCGAGAGGAGGUUCCGUCUGCCGGGGGGCGUGAGGGUAGACGGGGUGAGCGCGUCCAUGGAGGACGGCGUGCUGACGGUCACCGUGCCCAAGGAGGAAGAGGCCAAGAAGCCGCAGGUCAAGGCCGUGGAGAUCCAAGGCUGCUGA
rnacentral:rRNA from 1 species